UUCACAUAUAACUCACUCCCUAAUUUCCGUUACUGAGUCCGUUUUGGAAAGAGGGAGGAUGGACACCAGAGACCCCAGGGGGACUCCCGCCCGCUGCAAGGCUCUGCCCUGACCCACUUCUACGUCCAGAUCAUCAGGAUGCCGCAGCGGGUGCGGUUCUGAGAUGUGUUGUCUGAUUAAUUUCACAGUGGCCUGGACACAGCGGGAGUCUUCUCCUCAAACUACAUGGGAAGAUGGAACACUGGUCCGCUGGGAUUAGUCUAACGUCUCACUCGGACAGAGGAAAACCUCAUGAUCUAAAACACUGAGGUUGGAUAUUAACUCCUCGGCUCGGACAAAGUGCGGUAGAUUCAUCUUCACGGUGCAUGAUGGGAAGCAUGGAAAAAUGGAAGUGAUAUCGCUGAUCAGUGAAGUGGGUCGUUAUGGAGAACAUCUGCUCCAGGCUCACAGACACGGCUUUUGAGCGUUACUUGACCAUGUUUGGUGUGAAGAGGAAAACUGGUUAUCAGGAGAAACGCAGGCUGUUCAGAUGACGCUAACUCGCUCAACAACAAGCCAACAUCAAGGUCAUAAGGUCACUCCAGCGACAUCAUACCUGAGCUUAUCGGCCACGAAGAUGACCCUGCGCUCCAGCAGCAGCGAGGCGAACACACACACCACCUGUCUCACACUCAGGCAGCUGAAGAGGCUUUCAAAAUCCACGUGCUCCAACCUCGAGUCCAUCGGCCUCCUCAACUCCAUCACCUGAGAAGAACGUUUAAUUAUGCAUUACGUAAACACCUCAUUUAUGAGAUUUAAAGACGUUCACACCACAGCACUCUUACGUUCUGGAUUGUGAUUGGUCAGAAGGUGUUAAUUAGCCCUGACAGUAGCGCAGCUGCAAAUCACGAGUUUAUUUAUAAUGAAUGCGCUCGUUCUAAUACGCUAUGGUUUCUAUAGCAACGGCGCAUUCACGGGGACAUGUAUGGCGGAUGCACAGCUGAUAAUAAACGGGUUAAUCGAAUCUUCGAAUCUUUAAAUAUAAAAGAACAUACACGACAGAGCCACGCCCAUUUUUACAUAAAAUCAGCUACGUGCAUGUUGUUAAAAAUAAUUAUUGAAGUGUAAUUUCCUCCACAGAUACUCGUUCCACAUUCCCUGGUGCUGUUACAGGAUGGAAACAGGGAUCUGAUCCGGGUACGGCUGGUUCUGGAUUCAUAUUACAGUAGAUUUAUUUAUUUAUUUAUUUAUUUAUUUAUUUAUUUAUAAGGAGUUAUAAUGAUCUGACCUCGUUGCCUGCACCAGGAAGGAAGGUUUUGACUUUAAUGGUUUUUCCGGGGGCUGGAAACGGAGACUCCAUCAGACUCCGCAUGAAGGGAUAGACCAGAGCUGCUGAGAUCCCUCUCCUCUUCUCCACUUCAUCCAGGAUCUGGGAAAAUCGACCAUGUGGUUGAACACGUGUGAUGAAUUACAUCCAGAGUGUGACAUCACAACAACAGGGGUUUUUUCACUAUUCAGACUAUUAAAAAAAUUCUAUAAUAUAGCAAUUUAAUUCUUAUUUUAUCUUUUUUUUUUACUCAUGUUGGCCUGAGUCUUCAACAGCGCUUUAAAUAAAACGUAUUUUAUUACCACUUUAUUAGCACUAAUAAAAACCGUUACCACUAACGCUGCGAAGGCGUCUGUUUUAUUUACAGACCUAAACUGAGUAUCUGUGUAAAUUAAACAGCUGGUUUUAAUCUCCUGGUUUUUAAUCUCCCGUUCCUCUUCGUUUAAACGCUCACAACGUUUCCCACGCUAAUGACGAGUGCUUAUGUUUACACGCGAAGAUUCUCCGCGAUCCGUAGGAAUGCUUUCUUUCUGAUUGACAUUGCAAAUGAACUGUUUAUACGGAUAAUAAAACCGGUGUUUAUCUGGACAGUACGUGUUAUCUGAUGAAAAGUUGUGCACGAGCGGGAAGUGAGGUUUAGUGUUUGCGUUACCAUGACAACGAGGAGAAUGUGAGUCUUGCCGGUGUGUUUAUCUUUUUAAUCCUGCUGCUUGUGUUUUUAUGUUUUAAAAUGAUCUGGGUUUUUUAUUUGAGUUUUAAAUGAUUUCUUCUCAGCAAAACAU